rnacentral:rRNA from 1 species
UACGUAGGGCGCGAGCGUUGUCCGGAAUCAUUGGGCGUAAAGGGCUCGUAGGCGGUCUGUUGCGUCAGGAGUGAAAACUCGGGGCUUAACCCCGGGCGUGCAGUGGAUACGGGCUGGCUGGAGGCAGGCAGGGGAGAACGGAAUUCCCGGUGUAGCGGUGAAAUGCGCAGAUAUCGGGAGGAACACCGGUGGCGAAGGCGGUUCUCUGGGCCUGUACUGACGCUGAGGAGCGAAAGCGUGGGGAGCGAACAGG